AACGGAUCUCAAACUCAACAUUACGUCACUUAAACGCGCCAUCGUAAGUGCCAAACUUGUAUAGUGAAGCAUGGGACACCUUGGCGCUACAAUCAUCCUGAUUCAUAUUUUAUUUUGGACUAUUUGCAAUGGUUUGCCGAAGUGCAAGCGGGACGAGUAUGCCUGCGCCAACCGGCGCUGUGUAUCCACAGACUUCCUCUGUGACAAGGUGGAUGAUUGUGGUGAUGGGAGCGACGAGGCCUCCUGUAAUCCAGACCGGCCGUACCUAACGGUCCCUGGAGCCCCCACUCCUUCCUCUCACACCUCCUGUGGCCCCUCGGAGUUCAGAUGUGGGGACGGAGAGUGCAUCCCACAUGCCUUCCGAUGCGACCACUCGGAGGACUGUGCAGAUAAGAGUGACGAGCAAGACUGUGAUAAGAACGAGUGUGAGGAAAACAACGGGGGCUGCUCUCACCUGUGCCUGGACCAGCCCAUGGGUGUCUUGUGUGCCUGCCCCCCAGGCAUGAUGCUAGUGGGGGACACUCGGUGUGAAGAAAUUGAUGAGUGCCUUAGCAACGAUGUCUGCAGUCAGAUUUGUAUCCGUGUGAAUGGCACCUUGACCUGCGAGUGCCAUCAAGGUUACACAAUGGGUCCCCACACAGGAGAAUGCCUAGCCAUUGGAGACCGGGCUGUCAUUGUGUUCAGCAGUUUGACUGGCCUGCGUUCCGUGGACAUGUUGGGUCAGGAGUACCGACUGGUUGCUGAAUCCUCCACCACUCCGGGCCCAGUGGCCACACUUGUUUCAAACCGCACCAUCUACUGGGCCAGCUCCGAGCAAGGCACCAUUUACAGGACAUCACUUGAGGGAAAUACUCAUGAGUCUGUGUUGCUGUUAAGGAGCCAGGGCACAAUUCUGGGUUUGGCUGUGGACUGGAUCCACCAUCUGCUUUACUGGACCAACACCAACACACAUUCUGUGAAUGUGGCCACUCUGGACGGAGCCCAGCGGCGUCUUUUGGUGAAAGGCCUGUCCAAACCCACUGGGGUAGCAGUGGAGCCCCUGGAGGGGCUGCUUUUCUGGGCUGAUGCCGGUACCACACCCAGGAUUGAGCGUGCAUCGCUGGAUGGACGUGGGAGAACAACCCUUGUCACCUCUGUGUUACAAAGCCCAGUAGCCAUUGCUCUAGAUCUCCCACGCAAGCUCCUGUACUGGGCGGAUGCUGGGAGGCGCUCAUUAUCACGGGUCAACUUUGACGGCCGGCAGCGUAAGACCGUGCUGGAGUCCAACGGGUACCUGGACCGGCCGUUUGGACUAACUGUGUUCGAGGGCCAUGUGUUCUGGUCUGACCAGGCCAGCGGCACUGUGAGUCGUGCCAGCAAGCACGAUGGCAGCUCGACUCUGGUGCUCCUAGACCAGACACCCUCGCCGGGGGGGUUAGCUGUGGUACACCCCGUCCUGCAGCCGCAUGGUCAAGCAGCGUGUGGCUUCCCAGGGAAGGUGUGUCCAUCUGGGUGUGUGCAGGAAUUCUUCUCUGAGAAGGGAAUGCCUGGUUUCACUUGUUUGUCUCCUACAGAUCCUACAAGGAGUUCAUCAUACCAACCUAUGCUGAAGUCAGACCUUUCUGAGGCCAGCUUUGCAUGGAUAGUGUCACUCAUUGUGCUGCUCAGCCUGCUGCUGGUGGGGCUGCUGUGGUGGUGGAGGGUGGAGCUCAGCUCCACCCAAAGAAGCCCCAGUCUCCAAGCUGAUGACUUUCUUGGAGAGUCCCGUGACCCCCUGAUGCCUGCUGCCCCCCUCAACGGCCAUCUCCUCAAUGAGACUGCUUAAGCUGGCGGAGGUGAUGGGACGGACGGUGCUUGCGUGAAGACGAUGGGUCGGGUGAUUUGUGAAGAGUCAGCGUGAUCCUGUCAACCUGUCAUCCUGUCUCCUGCCAUGUCCUCUCCGUCUCAACUAUUAAAGGCUUCCAAGUUCCUGCUGCUGCCUGCCGGGUCUCUAUUCACAGAGAAAAACUUAGAAUUUGUUUGGCUUGAUGGUAUCCAAUAGGACUAAGGAAUUUUGUUUGUUGAAUUGUUUUUUUUUUCUGUGUGUCUGAGGUUUUUCUUCCUUGCUCCUUUUCUGAAAACUUUCCAGGAAGAAAUUCCAAUGUUGGCUAACCUUUUGGCGUCUGUGAGAUGCACAACAGUGAUCUAUAUUGAAUCAGAGAGAUGAACAAUAUCAUUACUUAACAAAGAGGCUGUGAUGAGUCACCCUAGGCACAUGCUUGAGUGACUUCCUCAUUUAAGGAUUAAUCAAACUUGAACCAAGCUGCCUAUUACUGUAACAUGGCCAUGAUGUUACGGUAUUAUGUGCUAACCUAUUUAGUUGGCUAAGUAGUUAACUGUUUUCUCAGUAUUUGUAACACAUGCUUUUCUGGCCUUAACUGUAACUUGUUUGUCUCUGGCACUGUUAAGUUGAUGGCCAUACAAGUUCUACUAUUCAGAUAUUCUGAAUGGCUUAUUAGCUGGUUUAUCGAAAGUAAUGAUCAUAGGUUGCACUAGUAUGAUUAAUAUAUUCAGUACUUUGGUGUGAAUACUGUACUUCCUGCUGGAAAAAGUUAUGAGCAAUGAUUAUGCAUUGCGUAGAGCUAUCAUUUUAUUUGCACUUUCUUCUGUUUCUGUUGGUGAUUUCUGCUUUCCUUGUUUGGUUGCUUAUUAAUGCUGAAAUAGAAACAAAUCUGUUAUAUUGUAAUUCUCAGUGGUACAAUUGGGAAUGAUUGUUUGAAAGCUACAACACUUGGAAAUUGUGAAAUGUCAGAUUGUUUGGAUCUUUCAGAUUUUCAGGUUGCAUCAUAUGAUUGUUUUAUUUGAAAACAAAGUGUUAUAUUUAUCGUUUAUUUAAUGGUUUUGAUCAAAGAUUCUGUAGUAUAUGAGUAUUUUUUUCUGUUAAAAGCUCUUAAAAUCAGAAUGUGAGAUAAAGCAAUUGUACUGUAGUUUUUGAAUGAAAUAAACUGUUGAAAAAUGAA